rnacentral:tRNA from 1 species
CGCGGGAUGGAGCAGUCUGGUAGCUCGUCGGGCUCAUAACCCGAAGGUCGUAGGUUCAAAUCCUACUCCCGCAACCA